AUUGAACGCUGGCGGCAGGCCUAACACAUGCAAGUCGAGCGAGCGGCGGACGGGGGAGUAAUGUCUGGGAAAAUGCCUGAUGGGGGGGGAUAACUACUGUAAACGGUAGCUAAUACCGCAUACCAUCAGAUGUGCCCAGAUGGGAUUAGCUAGUAGGUGGGGUAACGGCUCACCUAGGCGACGAUCCCUAGCUGGUCUGAGAGGAUGACCAGCCACACUGGAACUGAGACACGGUCCAGACUCCUACGGGAGGCAGCAGUGGGGAAUAUUGCACAAUGGGCGCAAGCCUGAUGCAGCCAUGCCGCGUGUGUGAAGAAGGCCUUCGGGUUGUAAAGCACUUUCAGCGGGGAGGCGUUACCCGCAGAAGAAGCACCGGCUAACUCCGUGCCAGCAGCCCCGGUAAUUC
rnacentral:rRNA from 1 species